UACGUAGGGUGCGGGCGUUAAUCGGAAUUACUGGGCGUAAAGCGUGCGCAGGCGGUGAUGUAAGACAGGUGUGAAAUCCCCGGGCUUAACCUGGGAACUGCAUUUGUGACUGCAUCGCUGGAGUGCGGCAGAGGGGGAUGGAAUUCCGCGUGUAGCAGUGAAAUGCGUAGAUAUGUGGAGGAACACCGAUGGCGAAGGCAGCCCCCUGGGUUAACACUGACGCUCAUGCACGAAAGCGUGGGGAGCAAACAGG
rnacentral:rRNA from 1 species